rnacentral:rRNA from 1 species
UCCAGAGCCAUAUAACCCUGUGGGUCUUGCCUGGUGUCCCAUUGAAGCUAAGCAGGGUUGAGCCUGGCCAGUACCGUAGAUGGGAGACAUUCUGGAGAAAACUAAGGUUGCUGCUGGAA